ensembl:lncRNA
UGGCAAUGUUGUAGUAAAUUACAUGGAGCACUUUCUGAAGUAAGCCAGGCUUUUCCUUCCUGGUAUUAAAAGGUCACUGCUUCUUUACCUUGUAAAAGAUUGUUAAGAAGAUGGCGACCGGCAACGUUUUAAGGUGCAACAGCUGGGAAACCACCAGGAAAACCUUGCUUCCCUGUCUUAGCAUCUGGAGUCUUCAUGGAAGUGAGAAGUUUGCAGGUUUGCAGCUGCAGCCCUUUCAUGACAAGUUCGAUUUUUCCUGCAUAACUUCAUGCUGGUGUCAUAUAUUCUUUCAUGUGUUCCCUGGUGACCACAGCUCUCCUGCCAUUUACCUUGCUCCAGGUUUGCACACACCGUGGGACUUCUGGUGACUGCUGGGCUGCUGGCAUUGAUCUUUCAUUUCCCUGGGGGAAAGAAAAGUGGGCUUGAAAUUUUACCUUUGCGGAAAAAUAUCACACAUUUUGCAAGAGGAUGUUCUUUCUUCUAAUUUGGGUUAUUUUGUAUGAUUAAAUAGUCUUAUGCUGAUGUAACAGUCAUAUAUCCAUUUAUAUAUUUAUGUACUUAAAUAUUUAUCUAUUCAUUCAUAGAAACUUUUUGUGCCAUUCAUGUGCCAGGCAUUAUUCAAGGUGCCUGAAAUGAUGCUAUGACUAUAGCAGGUGCUGUCCUUACAUUUGUGGGGCUUUUGGUCUAUCAGUUUCCAAUAAAUUGGGGAGAAAAUUGUACA